UGAGUAACCUGCCCUUAACUCUGGGAUAAGCCUGGGAAACUAGGUCUAAUACCGGAUAUGACUCCUCAUCGCAUGGGUGGGGGGGUGGAAAGCUUUAUUGUGGUUUUGGAUGGACUCGCGGCCUAUCAGCUUGUUGGUGAGGUAAUGGCUCACCAAGGCGACGACGGGUAGCCGGCCUGAGAGGGUGACCGGCCACACUGGGACUGAGACACGGCCCAGACUCCUACGGGAGGCAG
rnacentral:rRNA from 1 species